AGUGAACGCUGGCGGUAGGCCUAACACAUGCAAGUCGAACGGCAGCACAGUAAGAGCUUGCUCUUACGGGUGGCGAGUGGCGGACGGGUGAGGAAUACAUCGGAAUCUACUUUUUCGUGGGGGAUAACGUAGGGAAACUUACGCUAAUACCGCAUACGACCUACGGGUGAAAGCAGGGGAUCUUCGGACCUUGCGCGAUUGAAUGAGCCGAUGUCGGAUUAGCUAGUUGGCGGGGUAAAGGCCCACCAAGGCGACGAUCCGUAGCUGGUCUGAGAGGAUGAUCAGCCACACUGGAACUGAGACACUGUCCAGACUCCUACGGGAGGCAGCAGUGGGGAAUAUUGGACAAUGGGCGCAAGCCUGAUCCAGCCAUACCGCGUGGGUGAAGAAGGCCUUCGGGUUGUAAAGCCCUUUUGUUGGGAAAGAAACGCAGCAGGUUAAUACCCCGCUGUUCUGACGGUACCCAAAGAAUAAGCACCGGCUAACUUCGUG
rnacentral:rRNA from 1 species